GAUUGGUUUAUGCUUCAGCUACGACUUCCCUUGAGUGAUAAAUGCGAAUCUCGAAGGCUAUGCUCCUGAAGCGAUGCGAAUCGGGGAGGCAGGUUCCUUUUUGUUAACCGCAGUGUGGCGCUGCUGCAGUGUUUUGUUCAAUAAAUCCAAUCCAAUCCAAGUUGCUGCAGUUUAUGGACCACGUUGGCUGUGCGCGAGUGCUUGUUGCAGUGAGGCGGUAGUUGAAUUUUAUGUUAGAAGUGCCUAGGCAAAAUGUGCUUCUUAUCGUGUGCAUUAACCAUCGCACAACCUCUGAACUCGUGAAACACCGUGUGUUCGCCGUGUGUUUCGAGCGAUACGCCAGUGUCAACAGUGUCUUACAGCGCCCGUCCGAGCUGCUUUUGUUCCCGCCUGCCUGCGCUCUCUCGUGAAAAGCCUGGUACUGGGGCUUCAUCACAGUGUAUGGAAGAAUUUGUUGUAGGUUAUGCGUUCGUGGUGCUGUAGUUCAUCGGCAGCUCUACAGUGUUUGCGCCCGAAAGAGAGUUGGUGCCACGGUACCUGUGGGACGAAGGAGUGUUUGCUGACUACGUCUUGAAAGUUGAAGGCUAUGCGGAUUCUGGAGGCAUCCCACAGGAACCUGCAGCACUGCUGCAAGCUGGAGAGCACCACUAUAAAGCACUUGAUCUGCGCGCUUUUACAAAGGCUUGCAGCAAGAGGGAUAUCAAGAACACGGGAGAUAUCCAGACAGCAUUAUAGUCACUGCUUGCUUGUGGCUUCUUAGGGCGUGUAUGAAAG